rnacentral:rRNA from 1 species
GUCUUCGGAUUUAGAGACCGGCGCACGGGUGCGUAACGCGUAUGCAAUCUACCUUUCACAGAGGGAUAGCCCAGAGAAAUUUGGAUUAAUACCUUAUAGUAUUACGACUUCGCAUGGAGAUGUAAUUAAAGAUUUAUCGGUGAAAGAUGAGCAUGCGUCCCAUUAGUUAGUUGGUAAGGUAACGGCUUACCAAGACUACGAUGGGUAGGGGUCCUGAGAGGGAGAUCCCCCACACUGGUACUGAGACACGGACCAGACUCCUACGGGAGGCAGCAGUGAGGAAUAUUGGACAAUGGGCGCAAGCCUGAUCCAGCCAUGCCGCGUGCAGGAUGACGGUCCUAUGGAUUGUAAACUGCUUUUAUACAGGAAGAAACACCUCUACGUGUAGAGACUUGACGGUACUGUAAGAAUAAGGAUCGGCUAACUCCGUGCCAGCAGCCGCGGUAAUACGGAGGAUCCAAGCGUUAUCCGGAAUCAUUGGGUUUAAAGGGUCCGUAGGCGGAUUUGUAAGUCAGUGGUGAAAUCUCCCCGCUCAACGGGGAAACGGCCAUUGAUACUGCAAGUCUUGAAUUAUUAGGAAGUAACUAGAAUAUGUAGUGUAGCGGUGAAAUGCUUAGAGAUUACAUGGAAUACCAAUUGCGAAGGCAGGUUACUACUAAUGGAUUGACGCUGAUGGACGAAAGCGUGGGUAGCGAACAGGAUUAGAUACCCUGGUAGAAUCACUAGUGAAUU